rnacentral:rRNA from 1 species
AUUGAACGCUGGCGGCAUGCCUUACACAUGCAAGUCGAACGGUAACGCGGGGCAACCUGGCGACGAGUGGCGAACGGGUGAGUAAUGCAUCGGAACGUGCCUGGUAGUGGGGGAUAACUGCUCGAAAGAGCAGCUAAUACCGCAUACGGCCUGAGGGUGAAAGGGGGGGAUCGCAAGACCUCUCGCUAUCAGAGCGGCCGAUGUCGGAUUAGCUAGUUGGCGGGGUAAAGGCCCACCAAGGCGACGAUCCGUAGCUGGUCUGAGAGGACGACCAGCCACACUCGGACUGAGACACGGCCCAGACUCCUACGGGAGGCAGCAGUGGGGAAUUUUGGACAAUGGACGCAAGUCUGAUCCAGCCAUGCCGCGUGCGGGAAGAAGGCCUUCGGGUUGUAAACCGCUUUUGUCAGGGAAGAAAUCUUCUGGGUUAAUACCUCGGGAGGAUGACGGUACCUGAAGAAUAAGCACCGGCUAACUACGUGCCAGCAGCCGCCGUAA